AUCCUCUCUUGCCGCGCGCCGAGCGGUUUUCAACUCUCACUGCUAGAAUUCCUCCAACCACCCAGGAUAGCAGGACCGAGAUACAUGGCCACCCAUGACCCGGAGCGUCCACUUCCAGGGACAGGCAGUGGUGAUUGGCUUCGGUUGUCAUCUGUGCCAUCUGUCCAUGGUUCGAGAAGCUGCUGUUCACGUUUUGGGGAGGAUCAUGGUUUGAGGGCUCCCGUGGUAGAAUUUGGGGAGCUCUCAUAGGCAGAAGGCUGAGAAAAGUUGGUGCUGUGGGAAGUCAACUGGCAGCCGAUGGAGUCGGGACCCGGGAGGAAUGGAAAGGGAACCCAGAUAGGAAGCUACUGCAGUAGGCUCAGAGAGGUGAUGACGGCAGGGCUAAGACAGCGGCCUUGGGCGGUGACUGGGAAGAACGUUGAACACCGUGUUUGGGCUGAAGAAAAGAGCAAGGGAAGAGGUAAAAAUUAUACAGUGAAACACAUUCAUCUUGAGUACAAAUCAGUGGGUUAUGACAAAUGUCUGCAUCUGUGCCUAAGCAGUACCCUGAGGAGGACACUGAACGUUUCCAUCAUCCAAAAAGUUCCCCAUGCUGUUUGCCAUUCGCCCUCACCCUCCGGCCCCAGCAAGCCCUGUUGAGUCUCAUCGGAGUUCCUUCCUCCACCAAGGGAUAGAAACUCACCUGAUUGCUGCAUGCAGACACUGACACUCCCGACCCCUCAUUCGUCACAAUUGAUGCCUUACUCCUGCCUGAUUGCUGUCUUCCUGCUCAUAAUUAAAUUCCUUCCCCCCGCUAUAUAAUGCCUCCGGCUUUAGUCAGCUGGAGAGAGGGAUUUGAGACUGAUCUCCUGUUCUCUUGGGCUGAUGUCAACCAUAAUAUAAUAAAGUUUUCUUCCCC
ensembl:lncRNA LINC02175 long intergenic non-protein coding RNA 2175